rnacentral:sRNA from 1 species
GAUUGCCUAUUUUACUUCUCACUAUUGAUUUAUGUUGCCAAAACAAAGAGCUACCUGAGGAGGUCUGUAUUUUAUAGCCUUUGUUUAAUAUAUGAGAAAAUGGGAGUCAAGGAAAAUUAGAGUCCUUGCCUUGUUAAUACAUCCAGGACACAGGAAACUUGGAAUUGGAACACCUGCCUGUGACACCAGUGCAUGCUUUUAACAACAACCUUGAUAAAUUCUCACUUUUACUCCCUUCCUUGUUUACCCAGUCUGUCCACCUGGAAAUGCUAGUUCGUUAAGACUCAGAUCAAAGGUCAUUUCCCAUCAGAAUGUUUCUCUGACUAUUCCAGACACAGUCUAAUGCAUCAUCCUUUUCUGAUCUGUAGAGAACAUUAAAAGGUUGUUUAAUUUUAAGCUUUUC